rnacentral:rRNA from 1 species
AACGAACGCUGGCGGCAUGCCUAACACAUGCAAGUCGAACGAGACCUUCGGGUCUAGUGGCGCACGGGUGCGUAACGCGUGGGAACCUGCCCUUAGGUUCGGAAUAACUCCCCGAAAGGGGUGCUAAUACCGGAUAAUGUCUUCGGACCAAAGAUUUAUCGCCUUUGGAUGGGCCCGCGUUGGAUUAGCUAGUUGUUAGGGUAAAAGCUUACCAAGGCGACGAUCCAUAGCUGGUCUGAGAGGAUGAUCAGCCACACUGGGACUGAGACACGGCCCAGACUCCUACGGGAGGCAGCAGUGGGGAAUAUUGGACAAUGGGCGAAAGCCUGAUCCAGCAAUGCCGCGUGAGUUAUGAAGGCCUUAGGGUUGUAAAGCUCUUUUACCCGGGAUGAUAAUGACAGUACCGGGAGAAUAAGCUCCGGCUAACUCCGUG